rnacentral:rRNA from 1 species
AAGGCAUAAGGGAGCUUGACUGCGAGACCUACAAGUCGAGCAGGGACGAAAGUCGGGCUUAGUGAUCCGGUGGUUCCGCAUGGAAGGGCCAUCGCUCAACGGAUAAAAGCUACCCCGGGGAUAACAGGCUUAUCUCCCCCAAGAGUCCACAUCGACGGGGAGGUUUGGCACCUCGAUGUCGGCUCAUCGCAUCCUGGGGCUGUAGUCGGUCCCAAGGGUUGGGCUGUUCGCCCAUUAAAGCGGUACGCGAGCUGGGUUCAGAACGUCGUGAGACAGUUCGGUCCCUAUCCGUCGUGGGCGUAGGAAAUUUGAGAGGAGCUGUCCUUAGUACGAGAGGACCGGGAUGGACGCACCGCUGGUGUACCAGUUGUUCUGCCAAGGGCAUAGCUGGGUAGCUAUGUGCGGAAGGGAUAAGUGCUGAAAGCAUCUAAGCAUGAAGCCCCCCUCAAGAUGAGAUUUCCCAUAGCGUAAGCUAGUAAGAUCCCUGAAAGAUGAUCAGGUUGAUAGGUUCGAGGUGGAAGCAUGGUGACAUGUGGAGCUGACGAAUACUAAUAGAUCGAGGACUUAACCAUAUAA